GACGAACGCUGGCGGCGUGCUUAACACAUGCAAGUCGAACGGUGAAGCGCCUUCCUUUUUGGUGGGUGUGGAUGAGUGGCGAACGGGUGAGUAACACGUGAGUAACCUGCCCCCUUCUUCUGGAUAACCGCAUGAAAGUGUGGCUAAUACGGGAUAUUCUGGGUCUGUCGCAUGAUGGGUCUGGGAAAGAUAUUGUUUCGGUGGGGGAUGGGCUCGCGGCCUAUCAGCUUGUUGGUGGGGUGAUGGCCUACCAAGGCGGUGAGGGGUAGCCGGCCUGAGAGGGUGGACGGUCACACUGGGACUGAGACACGGCCCAGACUCCUACGGGGGGCAGCAGGGGGGAAUAUUGCACAAUGGGCGCAAGCCUGAUGCAGCGACGCCGCGUGAGGGAUGGAGGCCUUCGGGUUGUGAACCUCUUUCGCCAGUGAAGCAGGCCUGCCUCGUUUGUGGGUGGGUUGACGGUAGCUGGAUAAGAAGCGCCGGCUAACUACGUG
rnacentral:rRNA from 1 species